rnacentral:rRNA from 1 species
AUGUCUUAUAUGAAUAAGCAGGCGUCGUUGCUGGCUGCGACCUCACACACUGCCGAAGUCUCCGGACUAAAGCAGAGACUGGAGCGAGCCAAGCAGGAGUUCGACCAAGCGAGGAAGCAGCUGGAAGACAAGCAAGGAGCGGCGACCGAGGUCGAGGUCCUUAAACAGGCCCUGGCCCAGGCCGAGGAAAAAGCUGCCAAGGAAAAAGCCACUCGCGAGAAGCACGAGGCCCGGCUUGAUGAGGUCCAGCAAGGGCUCCAGGAUGCGGUGAAGAAAUGCAAAACCUUGGAGCGCGACGUUUCGGCUUGA